CUAAACCCGUAAUACUCUUCACAGACCCCCCCCCCCCUUUUCUCCUCUCUGUCAUCGCCGUCUGCCACCCACCGGAAAUCGUUUGGCGGCGGCGCCACUCCAAAUCACCCCAAAUUUUCACCAGAUAAUCCUCAGCCUUCCUCCAUAACUAAUCCCCCUCCAAUUUUCCUAAAAUCCUCAUCAAGGUCGACUAAUUUCAAAUCUGAGAUUCAAAAAAAUAAACCUAAAUUGUUCUUUUUUUCCCUGAUUUUCUUUGUCAAGGUCACUUGUUUUGUUUAUAUUGAUCAAUUGUUCUUAACAAGAACAAUUGAUUAAUGUUAAUUUUGGUUCAUCUCAAAGCCACCCGAAUCCGUUCGAGUUCUGAUUGGUCGACCCGUUUUCUUCUUUCAAUUCGGCAGGAUUGAAGAUCUAGAAAGCAUGAGAAAUUGCAAGCCCGAGUAUGGAUUCCAUGUGUUGAAAUAAAGUCGUGAUUUCAGAAAAAAUAGAAGUUUAGUGUAUAGAAAUGAUUUUUACCUUAAACAAAUUGAGUUGUGAUUUUAGUAUCGUGAUGUAAAAUUGAUUGAUUAUGUGUUAUCAAAUUAAUUGGUCUGUAAUUUUUUUUUUUUUAAAGUAAAUAGUGUAUUUUAUUUCCUUUUGUGAAGCAAGAACAUGGGUGGAAGGGGGGCAUUUAGCUUACCUUCCCAUAAUAAUGA